CACAGCUAAUUAAACAGAAGAAGGAUGAAUUAUCAGAGCGUAAAGAUUAGUUAAUUAAUCUUCUCCCAAUUCUUGUUAUAAUAUAUGUUGAAUCUAUUAUAUUAAAUAUUAACCACAUUCUUGAAUCUAACGAAGUGUAAUGAAACAUCUUUACUUCUGUAGUAUAAAUUAAUAAUAUACAAUUUAUUAGUGGCACACUUAUUUUUCAAACAAAUGAUCAUUGAAAUAAUACAUAUAUCUUAUGAUCAAACAAUCCUUUUGCGCUGCCAUUAUUUAGGCAAACGUUACUAUCCAAUACAAAACAUACAUUUCUGGUUUUUAUGCAAUCUACUGGUACACAAGAAACGAACUUCUUCGGUUGACCGGUAAUGUGUGAAAUGCAUGUACAUAUCUUUGAGAUGGGUGUGUACAGAAUGGCGCUGUCAAUUGACCAGCUGUCGGCGUCCACCAUAGCAAACUGAUCUCUUUAGUUUAUAGAAUAUGCUAACUAUUGACCUUGCUAAAGUACAGAAUUAAAAUUUGUAUCAGCAACAAAAUCGGAAUAAACACACAAUUGUCGUUUUAUAUAUUA